CUUCACUGCACUGCCCCAGAGUUCUUUAUCAUGCUGCCCGGCUCUUCUUGGAGCCCUUCGUUGCACUGCCCCUGAGGAGUCCUUCACUGUGCCACCCGGCUCUUCUUGGACUCCUUCACCCUGCUGUGACAAAAGAGUCCUUCACCACGCCACCAGGCUCUUCUAGAGCCAGUGUGAAGGAGCAGAGACUGGAUUUUACCUGCAGUUAUCCCUGGAGGAGCUGCUGCAGAAGGAAGCCAGCCUAUGGUUUUGGGAGCUGUGCCACAGGACAGCUGAGCAGAAAUCUGGCCUGAUAGCACCACAUUUUUGCUUUUGGCAAUAAAGAUUGGAGCAAGCCACGACUGAGACGUGGUGGCAUCUGGUUUAUUUGCUGCAUGGUUAUCUAAACCCCGCUGACAGCUCUCAGGAAGAUAUCUCACCCCUACCUGCUCCUCAUCCUUAACACAUCCCACAGCUCCUGCAUGGUGAAGUCCAUAUUGCUGCUGUGGCAGUGGAGCUAAUAGUGGGCAGCUGGCAACCGCGGAGAUCUCACUGCAGUUUUUACUGCAUUCCAGUGGGUAAGUGCUUGUGCUGGAAGGGGCUGCUUCUCCUCUGCGACAGAUGCUGCCUUUGUCCCAGCUUGCGCUUUUCUUUCUCUGUUUAAGCACGGCUCUUGAAGCAGAGCUCUAGGUAGGUGCAGUCCAUGUUCAAUUUCCUCACUAAAUGUUGCAAUUCCAUGUAGGUGAGAAGGUGCUUCUGCAGGGAGGGGCCGGGCAGGAGGCAGCAGGGUAGCCCCUAGGAAGCCAAGGGAGCACCUGUUGGCACCCAUGCUCCCUAGCCUGAGUUGUGUGGGUACAAAAAAGCCUUCCUGUUCUUUUUUCCCUGCACAACUCACUUAAGCUAUAGGGAGUGUGGGGUUUGGUCCCCUCUCUUGGCUGCUCUGGCUGGACCGUGGCCUGCCUGCUCCCUGAGGAAGCCACUUGGGUCAGGGCCUGUCCCCGCUGCACACUUCUGCACUUAAAGGGAGUUUUAAAGUGACUUUAAGAGUCUUUUAAAUUCUCCAUUUAAGUGCAGUCAUGGGUGGCAGGCAGGCCCUGGCUAAUGGAGGGUGCCAUACCUUGUCACUCCCUAGAUGAAAUGUGUUCUGUGGGGACAAAAAAGCUCCGUGGGGUUUCUGUCCCCAUGCAAGGCCCUUGGGCUUGCUGCCCUGGGCUCCUGGUCGCUAGAGAUCAGUUUAGGAGCAGACGUUGGUCCCUGAAAGUGAAGCCCGUGACCAGUUUGGGGUGUUUGGAGUUGGUGCAGUUACAGGCUAAGGGUGAUGUGACUGCUUGGCUGCUCUGAUCAGGGAACAGGGGACUGCUGCCCUUCCUCAGUGGAAAUCCCCCUCUUUCUGGGGAUGCUGCUCACAACAAAUGCAAUUGAGGGCAAAGCACAGUUUUUUUCUCCUGCCCUAUCCAGUCCUUCAGGCUGAAACACUGCUUUGCUGCUGGGAAGACCUCAAAAUGUCAAAAUACAGCAAUGUUGCGGACCCCAAAACCUAAAUCCACAAUAGGGGCUGUGGCAGCUGCUGCUUUACUACCCUUCACAGAGACAGGGAUGUGGUGAUGGCUGAGAACACUGGGCAGGCUGGGCCAGAAGAGCUCUCCUGGAGCUAUCAAAGUGAUUUCCAGAAUUUUAAAGCAAUUCUUUCCCCCAAUUUUUGUUUGGUACUAUAUUGCUUGGUGGGGGUUGAGUUUUUUUUUUUAAUAACUUAGCCUGAGGUGCAUUUCCAGGUGUGGAAAAUUGUCAGUCGUUUGGCUUUGUUGCACCAAGAAAAGUCUAGGAAAAAUAGGUGGAAGGAGUAUUAUGACACUCUAAUAACAGGUAGUAGUGCUAGCUAAUCCCCAAUAACUAGUACAGGUUUCAGAAGAUAAAUGUGGGUGCACAGUUUCAGAAGAAACCAUGAGAUUUUGGGAGAAAGUACAAGAUUAAGCCUCUUGAUGAUGAAAUAUUGCAACUCUCUGGUCCUUUGAAUUUCUUUGGCAGGCUGGGAAACAAAUGGUUUUACUACUUAUCCCUAUUCAAAAAUGUCAUUUUGAAGAAUGAUUUCAGUAAUUGUUUUGCCUAACAGAGCAAAUUAUGAGAUCCUCUCCAAUGUGUAUUUUUUAAAAGCAGUGAACAAUGAGAGGAUUUGAGCACUUCCAUGGAUUUGAAUAUCCUUUUGCCAUUAAAUUUAAUUGGUCA